GCUCAACCGGGGAGGGUCAUUGGAAACUGGGGAACUUGAGUGCAGAAGAGGAGAGUGGAAUUCCACGUGUAGCGGUGAAAUGCGUAGAGAUGUGGAGGAACACCAGUGGCGAAGGCGACUCUCUGGUCUGUAACUGACGCUGAGGCGCGAAAGCGUGGGGAGCGAACAGGAUUAGAUACCCUGGUAGUCCACGCCGUAAACGAUGAGUGCUAAGUGUUAGAGGGUUUCCGCCCUUUAGUGCUGCAGCAAACGCAUUAAGCACUCCGCCUGGGGAGUACGGUCGCAAGACUGAAACUCAAAGGAAUUGACGGGGGCCCGCACAAGCGGUGGAGCAUGUGGUUUAAUUCGAAGCAACGCGAAGAACCUUACCAGGUCUUGACAUCCUCUGACGACCGUAGAGAUAGGGCUUCCCCUUCGGGGGGCAGAGUGACAGGUGGUGCAUGGUUGUCGUCAGCUCGUGUCGUGAGAUGUUGGGUUAAGUCCCGCAACGAGCGCAACCCUUGAUCUUAGUUGCCAGCAUUCAGUUGGGCACUCUAAGGUGACUGCCGGUGACAAACCGGAGGAAGGUGGGGAUGACGUCAAAUCAUCAUGCCCCUUAUGACCUGGGCUACACACGUGCUACAAUGGGCAGAACAAAG
rnacentral:rRNA from 1 species